rnacentral:lncRNA from 1 species
CAAAAGCCAAGCAGAAUGAUGAGGUGGUUAAAACUGCUGGAUAGUGGAGGCUAAAGGCUGACAUUACAGGAAGCAGGGUGAUGGAUAAGCGGUAGUCAAAAGGCAAAAAUGUACAACAUUCUGCUGGAACUUCAGUGAACAAGAUGAGGUGGUUAAAACUGCUAGGAUAGUGGAGGACAACAAAAAAAGUGUUGACAUUGCAGGAUGCAGGGUGAUGGAUAAGGGGUUGUCAAAAGGCAAAAUGUACAACACUUUGCUGGAACUUCAGUGAACAUGACAAACAGAUUCUCCUUACUACAGAUAGGUGAAGACCCAGAGGACGCUGGCCCAUCCAGCUUCACCACAAAAUGAUCUUCAGCACAUGGAAUAUUAGGGGCCUUAACAAGGCUCAUAAACAGAAGGAGUUGAAACUCUUUCUGAGAAAGCAUAAAAUAGACUGUAAGGAAUGUAUAGAAACUAGACUAAAAGAAUAUAAGGAACAAAU